rnacentral:rRNA from 1 species
UACGUAGGGUCCGAGCGUUGUCCGGAAUUACUGGGCGUAAAGAGCUCGUAGGUGGUUUGUCACGUUGUUCGUGAAAACCCACAGCUCAACUGUGGGCGUGCGAGCGAUACGGGCAGACUAGAGUACUGCAGGGGAGACUGGAAUUCCUGGUGUAGCGGUGGAAUGCGCAGAUAUCAGGAGGAACACCGGUGGCGAAGGCGGGUCGCUGGGACGUUACUGACACUGAGGCGCGAAAGCGUGGGGAGCGAACAGG